rnacentral:rRNA from 1 species
UACGGGGGGGGGCAAGCGUUGUUCGGAAUUACUGGGCGUAAAGGGCUCGUAGGCGGCCAACUAAGUCAGACGUGAAAUCCCUCGGCUUAGCCGGGGAACUGCGUCUGAUACUGGAUGGCUUGAGAUUGGGAGAGGGAUGCGGAAUUCCAGGUGUAGCGGUGAAAUGCGUAGAUAUCAGGAGGAACACCUGUGGUGUAGACGGCUUACUGGACCAUGACUGACGCUGAGGCACGAAAGCGUGGGGAGCAAACAGG